UUUAUGGAGAGUUUGAUCCUGGCUCAGGAUGAACGCUGGCGGCGUGCCUAAUACAUGCAAGUCGAGCGAACGGACGAGAAGCUUGCUUCUCUGAUGUUAGCGGCGGACGGGUGAGUAACACGUGGAUAACCUACCUAUAAGACUGGGAUAACUUCGGGAAACCGUAGCUAAUACCGGAUAAUAUUUUGAACCGCAUGGUUCAAAAGUGAAAGACGGUCUUGCUGUCACUUAUAGAUGGAUCCGCGCUGCAUUAGCUAGUUGGUAAGGUAACGGCUUACCAAGGCAACGAUGCAUAGCCGACCUGAGAGGGUGAUCGGCCACACUGGAACUGAGA
rnacentral:rRNA from 1 species